UGUCUCUUUUAAAGCUUCUGCUCAAACUUCCUUCAAUUCCUUCCCAUCAGUUCUUGCUUCUAAACACCAACAUAAGGUAAAACCAUCAUCAAUAGAUUACAUGCAAGCCAAUUAUCAAGCUCAAGAUAAAACUUUCCAAAACAGCAUGUGAAUGAUGAUGGUACAGCUGGGGAAGAAAAGAAAGCAAUUAAGUUUGUUUUAGGGAUGAAAUAGUGUGAAGAUUGUGAUAGUUUCUUUGCAUGUUGGAUUGAUAUAAGAGAUUGAGUGGAAAUUUUUGAUGUUUGGAUGGGAGAAGUAUGGGGGCCGAGCCAAAAAGAGAGGAGGAGGGAGAGAGAGACUCUGUACGUGAGAGAGAAUUGGAAGGAAAAAGAUAAGAAGAAAAAUGUGGUUUAGCUCUUUUAUAAUCUUUUGAUAAAAUUAUUACCACGAUGCCCUCCUCUUAAGAUGUUUUUCAGUCACAGUUAAAAGGACACUGCAUUCUAUCCGGAAUUAAGCGGGAUAUUACGAAUUCAAAAUAAGUUAACAUAAUUCCCAAUGAAUAAUAAGUCAAUUAAUUCAUAUAUACUAUUCAACAAUGAGAUCUAAAACUUAGAUCCAAAUUUUGUUACGAUGUUUCAAUGUUGUGCACAUAGAAGAAAUUCAAUUUGACUUUUCAUUAGAUUUGAUCUAGUGUAGCCUUUGUGUAAACGAGAAAUUUAUCUUUGAUGCCCUUUUAAAACAUUUUUAUUGAAAUGUGAAAUUCAAUCAAAUCGACGAAAUACCAAAUGCAUUGAGAAAAAUAUACAUUAAUCAUAUACAUUUGAUACUUCGUCGACUGAUUGAAAAUUCACCUCCAACAAAUGACUGAUGAUGGUAACAUACGAUAAGGAUUAAUCUGAUGAGUCACCUUUUUUAGCCCUGAAUAAAAAGAAGAUGGAGAAAAAACAUGGUGACAUAGAUAAAAUAAAAUCUACAUAAUACACAGAUGAAAAACAAAAUUUCUACUAACAUAAAAUACAAGUACCUAGGUAUUUAUAGCAUCAAAUAUUAACUUUUUUUAAUGGUGGAUUUAAGUUUUUAACUUAUUUUAUAUGAAAUUUAUAAAAAAAAAAAUCAAGCUUCUAGAAUGCUAAAAAGGUUUAUAAUAAAUAAUAAUAAUAAUAAUAAUAAAUAUAAAACUAUAAAAUAAAAAUAAAAAUAAAAAUGAAUUGAUAAUACGUUUUUUCUUUAAACUUAUUUGACUAAAAUUUAAGUAUUCUAAUUAUUAAAAAAUUAAAUGUGUUGAAAACCGAAGUCAAAUCAAGACCCAACUCAAGCGGUCAAUGUAUAAAAAAAGAAGUCAACAACAUUUAUUAUAAACAAAAGGAAAUUUAUUUUGCUUAGAUUGGAUUUGAUCGGUUGUCACAGUCAAAAUAAGGUACUAAAAAUUGAUCCUUUAUAAACAAAAGGAAAUUUAUUUUGCUUAGAUUGGAUUUGAUCGGUUGUCACAGUCAAAAUAAGGUACUAAAAAUUGAUCCUUUGCGGCUGCAUUAGGGGGUUCUCGCUCUCCUCCGACGGAAGAACCUCAUUAUUCGGUACCUUGCAUUAAAGGUGAUUCCCUUUCCAUACGAAUAUGCCAGGAUGAAUACGUUAAAGGUCUGGAAGAUUGUCAAUAUGCAUUACGUGGGAGACUAAUCUUGUCUAAAGGCGACAAACCUUACACCGCUCGCGAUUUAGCCUCCAAACUUGGCAAGAUUUGGAAGAUUAUCCAUCAAUGGAAGAUGGUUAAUCUUGGUCAGGGUUUCUACGAUUUUUUAUUUGAAAAUCAUGAUGAUUUUAAUCGGACUUGGACAGCGGGUACAGUUUCACUACAACCAGGGCUCCUUCGCCUCUCCCAAUGGACGAAGGAUUUUAACCACAACGCUCAGACACAAACACACGCCUCUUUAUGGAUCAAACUUGUAGUGUUGCCUCAGGAGUAUUGGCGCGAAAGAACAUUGAAAGAAAUUGCGAGUGCGGUGGGUACCCCUAUUUCUAUUGAUGGACCGACACGUAAUAGAGCUUUCGGACACUAUGCACUCAUUCUUGUGGACAUUGACUUAUCGAAGCGGGUUUAUGAUGAAAUCCUUGUUGAACGGGAGGGGUUUGCUUUUAACGUAGAAGUGCAAUAUGAAAGACGCCCUUUGUUCUAUCAUUGGACAUAAUGUCAUGAAUUGUAAGAGGUUGUCAAGGUCCCUGACCGUGGGAAGAAGCAGGUUACUGAUGCAGCUAGCAAUCCACCGCUUGUUGGGAAGGGAGCUUCUUCAUCAGGCACACUAUGUUAUGUUCCCUUACCAACAGCUGCUGAGACACAUGUUGUUGUUCCCACACCAACAGCUCAUGCACACGCUGUUGUCCCCCCACCAACAGCUGAGACAUGUGCUAUUGUUUGUAACGCCCUAUUUAAUUAUUAGAUUAUUUUAUUGAGUUUAGAGUCUAUUUAUAUGAUUUAUGUGAUUAAAAUGAUUAUGUGGUGUGUUGUUAUUUUAUUAAGUGGUGUUAUUUUAUUAUUUAAUACAAUAAGAUUUGAAAUUAAAAUAAUAUUGAGAUGAGAGGCUGUUUUGAGAAUUUAGAGAGUUUAGUGGAAUAAGUGGAAAUAAGAUAAAGAGGGUUGAGGAAAUAAAUAGGAGAAAACCUAAGUCAGAAUAGUUUUCACGUGAAACAAAACGUUUUGGAGAAAAAGGGAGAAAACAAGAGAAGAGAAGAACCGGAGAGAUCGUAGAGCUUCGUUCAUCUAAAUUAAGGUAAAGGUGAGGCUAAAUCUCAAUAAUCAUAGUGUAUGUGAAUUCUGAAAUUGAUUUAACAUGUGGUUGUUUAUGAAUUUUGGAAUUAGGGUUAGAAUGUAGAAUUGAAUUGUGGAAAGAAGUAGAUAAUCUGAUGGAUGUGCAUUAAGUAUUCUAAGUAUUAAAAAAUUAAAUGUGUUGGGGGUUUAUGCUCCGGAAUGCUUAGUCAUUCAAACACGUUAAAAUGGUACCACAUGCAUGUGCAUUGACGCAUUUGUCGUUGUGUCGUUGCAUAGUCGUUGUUGUUGGUUGAGUUGUAGUCGUUGUUGUUGGUUGAGUUGUUGUCGUUGUUGUUGUCGUUGUUGUUGGUUGAGUUUGUAGGUGUUGUUAAUAUUGAUGAAGUAUGAAACAAGACUAUUGAAUUAUCCGUUGUUAAUUAGGUUGUUAAAUACAGUUGAUGAUUUAUAUACCUAUUAUUAUUGUUUGUGAAUCUCACCCCUUCUGCUUGAAAAUGUUGCCCUUCGUAUGGGUAACUUGCAGGUGAUCGAGGAUAGUUGCUGUUAGUUGUUGUUAGUUGCUGUCGUGAGUGGACCUCCUCUCACGUGUGUCUUAGGUGCUCUGAUAUGUAACGGGAUGAGAAAUAUUGUCGUUGUAUUCAUCAUUCCUUAUGUAUCAUUAUGAACCUGUUGGUGUUGGAUUAAAUCCUUAAAGAUAAUUAUGUUGAGGCCAUGUGCCAAAUUUAUUGAAAGUUGUUUAAUGUUGAAAAUAAUUCCGCUGCGAUGAAUUGAUAUGUUUUACCAAAGUUAUUAUUUAAUAAAUAUGAUUUUAUUCUAUUUAUGAAUUUUUGAAAAGCAGUGUGACAUUCCGUUUGUUGAUUAACUCUGAUUUUACUUAAUAUUUACGUUGUUGGGUUAAUGGGGUGUUACAUUGUUCCCCCAACAGCAGCUGCCAUCCCCAAUAAUAUUGCAACAUCUGUUGUCCCUCCACCAUCAGCUGCAGCCGGUGAGGCAGCAGGUACCACUUGUAGCAACUUGCAAGGUUUUUCUGAACCUAUUCCUCAAGGUAAUCUACCUCGGCCUAAUACACAUGUUUUGGAGCUAGCAGAAUCUGUGAUGAAUGAUGAUGUGCAACGUUCAUCCGAGACACUUCCGGUUAAUCAAAAUAAUAUUUAUGUUGAACACGGCGAAGAACAGGAUGAUGAUGAUGACAUUGAUUUUUUUAUUGAUGAAGAUGGUAUUGCAACAGCUGCACCGAAGACUACUACUACUUCCAUCCCUCUGGUUUUGGCAGCAGUCCCAGUACCUGAUCCUUUGGUGGCUGCCUCGACGGUGGGCUCUCAGGAUGAUAACGCUUUAUCCAUUGCCGUCCCGGAGAAACACAACAAUGAUAGAGUUCAACAUGAUAUGGAACUUUGUGAAAAAGAGUAUGAUAUGCAGGUUGAAGCUCUUUCUGGGUCACGCCCUUCCUUGGCGUCACCGGUUGUUGUAGAGAGGUCUCUUGAAGCUAGCGCUAGCAUGACAAUACCAGAAGCUCAAGAGGUUGUAGUUUUACAACAACAACAUGUACAUCCCAUCAAGAACAUUCAACACGGCCUAGAUCUAUGGGACAGAGUUCGUGAAUAUGAUGCAAGGUCAGCUGCAGAAGAUUUCACACCGGUCCUUACAAGGAAGCAGAAAUAGAAAAUUAAAGUGCAACAAGUCUUGGCUAAGCAGCCCCCUAAAACCCGUGCCCGGGGUGAUAAUCAUCAGACUGCUCAAUGAAUUUCCUCCAUUGGAAUGUUAGAGGUAUCAGUAAUUAUGAUACUCGGAUUGCUUUAAAAAUUUAUACAUGUCUCAAAAAACUGUUCUGAUUUUUAUUGAGGACCUAGCAUGGGUCACUCAGUGCAAAGAACGGUUUGACUAUCUUCUCUCCCUAAUGAGUGAUUUCUUUAGGGAUAGAUGUGGUUUACCCAACGACAUAUUUCCAUAAUUUGUUUUACGGUGUUUUUUGUUGAUUCCUUUAUUCUUGCUUUCUGUUUUUUCUCUAGAGGGUUUUGGUCUAGUCCCCCCUCCUUUGUAUUUAUUUUCCCCCUUUUUUUAAUAAAUUUUUUAGAGUUUGGCAGCAUAGGAUGGAGAUUUCUCACGGUGCCAACCAAGUUGGGAUGUCGAUGUUGCCUCUUGAUGUCUGUCCAUUCUCCUUGCUUAUAAAAAAAUUAUUAAAAAAUUAAAUGUGUUGAAAACCGAAGUCAAAUCAAGACCCAACCAAGCGUCAAUGUAUAAAAAAAUGAAGUCAACAACAUUUAUUAUAAACAAAAGGAAAUUUAUUUUGCUUAGAUUGGAUUUGAUCAGUUGUCACAGUCAAAACUAAAAAUUGAUCGAGUCUAUUUAAGAAAAUAAGGUUUUUAUUUUAUUUUUAUAUUUUCGUCCGGUUGGUGAACUUUGCAAUGGAUGUGAGAAAUCAUAUUUUAAGGCAUCUAACUAAAGACCUCCUAUUAGCGAGUAUUCUUGUACGCAUUGUACUCAAUUCCAUAUUAAACAUGCCACGAACAAUCCAAAUAAAUGGACCGAUGAAUCUAUACCAGAAAUAGAUUAUAUCUAUUCAUGUUAUAAUUUAAGAUUUCACUAGGUAAUUUUGAUUGCAUUAUAACUAUAAGCCUUUGAUUUUUUAAUACAUGAAUUGAUUGCGGAAACAUUACAACUAUUUAAUUUGACUAUAUGCUUUGUUAUCUUAUUUUUGUCAAAAAAAUUAAAUUUAAACUCAUAUCAUAAAAUAAUGAAUGCAACUUGAUAAUAUAUAUUACAAUCACAAAAACUUAAAUAUUAUUCCAUAAACCGAAGACUUAACAUAAUUAGCUUUAGUAAAAAAUCUACUCUCGAAACUCUCUUUUACACGUAAAUAAGCAUUAGGUAAAAAAAAAUUGCUUUUGGUUUUUACUGUUUUUUUUUCUACAUGUGUUCGACAAUAUUUUUUUUUUCUAAGCCAGGAUAUUGGACAGGCAUCAACGGGAAGCAACGACAUCCCAACUAAGUGGCACCCCGCAGAACCCCCAUCCUAUACCACCAAUCUCAGAGAAAAUUUUGUUAAAAAAGGGGGAACUUUAAUUAACUUUUUCCCGAUUCACAUUUCUUAAAUUAACUCAAUUCUUGCAUCCAUUGUUCGUUUUUUCCCAUUAAGCACUUCUGAUUCAUUCCAAAACAGCUCAUUCAUCAAAAACUAUGCCAAAACCUGUAAGCAGCUUUCUGCAGAAUUUACCAAACUUCAAAUGCGUUUUUCGAAUCCAUUUCUAAUCAGAAUCAUACCAAAUCUAUAUCCAAACUGAAGGGAAUCAAAUGUAGAAAUAAAAAAUUCAACAAUUAUACAAGUAUGGGUUACACAUCUAAAUUUAAAGCUUAUUAUGAAACUCACCUCUAAUACAACUUCCAUUGAUACCAAAAACUUCAAAGCUGUCUGUCUCUUUUAAAGCUUCUGCUCAAACUUCCUUCUAUUCCUUCCCAUCAGUUCUUUCUUCUAAACACCAACAUAUACAACCAUCAUCAAUAGAUUACAUGCAAGCCAUUUAUCAAGCUGAAGAUAAAACUUUCCAAAACAACAUGUGAAGGAUGAUGGUACGGCCGGGGAAGAAAAGAAAGCAAUUAAGUUUGUUUUAGGGAUGAAAUAGUGUGAGGAUUGUGAUAGUUUCUUUGCAUGUUGGAUUGAUAUAAGAGAUUGAGUGGAAAUUUUUGAAGUUUGGACGGGAGAACUAUGGGGGCCGAGCCAAAAAGAGAGGAGGAGGGAGAGAGAGACUAUGUACGUGAGAGAGAAU
rnacentral:lncRNA from 1 species